AGAUGCAAUAUUUCACUCAGAUACAUUAGCCUACAUAGUUCCUUUAGGAACGAUCUCUGAUCCGAUCCCGUCGACCGUUCCUAUCACUAUCAGUCCCUAUAAAAGCUGCAAUAUGAAAAUACCACUCUUCCCCACCUCUGUAAGUCUUUUCUAAGGCUAUUAAUUUAUGGAAACAGCAGCCAGGGGUAAGAGAUCGGCCGCCAAAGGCAGUUCAUUCUAAAGGGCCUAACGACGAGAGGUACCCGCCCCAGAAAUUUUUUAAAAUUACAUUGUUGUAGAGAGUACUUUUCUGUUGGUUUAGAUACAAACUCAAAAGAUGAUUUUGUUGCCCAAAUCUCCUGAAAAACAUUAAAUUGGAUUUAAUGUCCUGCAUUCCUUCACAAACUAGACUAAUGAAGUGUGUGAGGGAAAAUUUGCCCGGACUGAGUCGUUGUCCCCUAUUCUUCAAGAUCCGGUGUUCGAUUUCAUUGUUGUCCGUGAAGGUUCCUCAGGAAUUUCCGGCAUGGUCUCCCAUUGUCAAUGGUGCAGGAUGGAGUGGACGAAAAAAUAUUGUUCCUUGUACACAUGUGACAUUGGCGUAGCCUACACAUAAAAGAACUGUGUUGAUGAAAUCGAAAUAGGCCUAAUAGUAAAAUUUUCCUCAUAGCCUCUGAUGGAGUAUCAAACCCUAGGCAUCCUGGUUAGUAAACCAGUCAAUGCCUUUAAUGCCUGAUCGAAUUAGUUCUAAAAACCUAUUUCCACACAUUUUUAUGUUUAUUUUCACAGAAAAAUUAGGACAAGAAAGAAAACGCGUAUUAACAUUCACUCCUGUAAGUGUAAAGCGAUUAGUGUCACCACGCUGGCAAAAAGCCGGGAACAAAUCAACUGCAAUACCACUGAAAUCAAGUCCAAAAAGAGCAUAACAUGGAUUGUGACUGUGUAGGACGUACCAGUUUUUAUCUGUUGCCAUUUUCAUCAGCUUUUUAUCCUGUUAUACAUUAGUUUUAGUCAGAGCCUUAUAUAGAGAGUCUGGCCAACCCGUGUCCCAAUUCUGAUUGGUUAAUGAUAGUCACGUGACAUGUGGACGCCAUUACGUUACCCUGUCAAAGAAUCGUCUGCUAUAGACAGUAGCCAGAAUUAUCUUUGAUUGUAGUAGAUUAUUUUACAUGAAUGGUCUGUUGUGUGGCCGUAAAAUGCCACACAAGAGAUGGGCAAGGAAUUGCAAAGCACAGAUUCCCGAAAAACACAGAAAGGCGGCGAUUGUGGGAGAUUAGGGUAAAAAGAAGCGGGUGGAAGCCCAGUAAACAUUCUUUCUUGUGUGAUAAACAUUUUGACGACACCCAAAAGGAGUUGGGACAACUAGAUGGAACCAAGCCACUAAAAUAUAACGCAGUUCCUAAUGUUUUCGACCAUAGUGUGCCUAAAAAAGUACGACCAGCUUCCAAAAGAUGUACCGCGAAUUCAAAAAACAUCGAACACUCCCACACUUCCCACUCCGAUCAUUCGUACGCUAGUACACGAAGGGUACAGAGAAGCGACAACUUGGAUGAAAAUGAAAAAAUACUGUUCGCAGCUGAAGAAGAAGCACUUUUCUCUCAAAUACCAGAAGCCGAAAUCGACCUGAAAGACAAACCACAAAAUACGACUGCAAACAAAUCUCCAAAGAAAAGAACGUCACGUAAAGAAACUCUUACACAGAAACUUCUCUGACAGAACAGUGUUUUACGGGACAAAUUACGCGAAUCUCUUCGUGAAAAGCGAAAAAUGGCACAGGAAAAAGCGAAUUUGAAUAACAGACUCACAACAAUUUUUUCUCUUAAUCAACUGAAAAAGCUGAGCCAAACGUCGUUUCGUGGUUCUAAAUGGUGUGAAGAGACAUAUCGAAAAGCAUUUCAGUUGAGAUUCACCUGUGGAACUACUGGGUAUGAGGAACUUUUGCGCCAGUCUCAACCUUUGCCAUCUUUGCGUUCACUAAGGUGCAAACUACAGGAUGUGAAGAUGGAACCAGGUGUACUAUAUGAAACUUUUGAACUACUGAAACUGAAAGUUGAAUCAUUUUCUGAGAAAGACCGAAACUGUGUACUAACUUUGGAUGAAACUGCUCUGAAGGCAGGAUAUCAGUACGAUAAAUUAGGCAGUUGUAUUCGUGGCAUUGAAACUAUUGUCAAAAGCGAUACACAUAAAUAUCGAAUAACACACCCUUGUGACCCGAACCGUUAUUUGUACUUUAUAUUUGAUGUCCCUCAUCUAACGAAAAACAUAAAGUGCGCAUUGGUGAACGGCAAGGAGUUCACAUUAUCCGAUGAAACUGUCGCAAAAUACGGACUGAAGUCUAACAUUGUCAGUCUUAAUGACAUAACGCAAUUGGUGGAAUUUCAGCUCAAUGAUGACUUGAAAAUAACACCAAAUCUGCAGACGGAGAAGCUGAUGGGCUCACAUUUUGAUAAAAUGAAGGUUUCUACGGCACUGAACUUUUUUAGUAAAUCAGUGGCAGCCGGUCUACGGUACCUUGUAGAAUUUGCCGGUGGAAGCAACUGUCUUCUAACCACCCAGUUAUGGCUCUCAGCCUCAAUAACCCAGAGGCAUACAACAGUGCUAUCAAUCAUUUGCUUGAAACUAUUACUAUUUUCAAAGGAUUAAAAGCUGGUAAAAACUGGAAACCAUGGCAAGACAGGUGUGAUUUUAUCAACGACAACAGUUUUUGAUCUUCAAGCAGAUUAUUUACAGAGAGGUCAUAUGUUCCUUCUCACGGGAAGGCUCACUCAGGAUUGUCUUGAGAAUUUGUUUGGAUGCAUUCGCUAUAAAAAUCCUACGCCCGAUGCCUUAGAAUUCAGACAAGCGCUCAAAACAGUGUCAGUUGCUCAGUAUAUGAAGUGCCCUACCACCGGCUCUUACUUGGAAGACGACAGGACCUUUUUGGCCGAUUACAUGCAACGUGAUUUUCAAGAGCAACAAAAAGAUGGGGAAGACCAGCUCAAUAUUUCGGGUGUACUGGAAUUGGAUUUGAACAAACAAGAGGAAUCAGCAUUGUUUCACUUGGCGGGAUACUGUUUGUUCUCGGUCAGAAAACACGGUAGAGUCUGUGACAACUGUGUGUUAGACUUAGAGGAUAAAAGUAAAGCUGUGAGUUCAGGACACAUUGAAGCUUUAACGCGCUUGAAAGAGUUCAUUCCUGGUACUCCACACCUAACUUACUGUUCAGACAAAGCCAUGGAAAUUAUACAGACUGCGGAGGCUGUAUUUCGUGCGAACGAGAAGAAACUGCAUGGAAACAAGUUGGUGGACCGAUUGCGCGAACUAACAGUGACAGCUUGCAGUGAUGAAAUAAAAACAUGUCAUGAAAUCAGAGACAAAUUUCUCAUGAAGUUUUUCACAGUUCGUCUGAAGAUACAUGCGAACAAGCUCAAUACAAUUUUAAAGUCUGAAAAACAGAAGAAGAAAGAACUAGAAGAAACUGCAAUGGCCAGCAAAUCUGUCAAAAUGAGGCAGAUGGUAAAAUCCCUGAAGUAGUUUAAGUCAUUACAUAAUAGUGAGAGUUAUUGAUAUUUUAGAGGUGUAAAUUCUCUCUUCGGAUAUAACAGACUUCGAAUGAUUCUUCAAUUCUUUAAUAUAUGCAUAAAUGAUUAAACAAUAUAAUAAAUCAACAAAAACAAUAGAUGGGAUUAACGUCGUUACCCAAUGAUGGCUUGAAAAGUGGUGACAGGUUAACGACUUACUAGCCAGUUGAUCUUAACGUGUUUAAUUUAAGAAACAUUAAUUAUAUUCGCGAUUGGAAGAUUAUCACACCAUUA